GUGAACGCUGGCGGUAGGCCUAACACAUGCAAGUCGAACGGCAGCACAGUAAGAGCUUGCUCUUACGGGUGGCGAGUGGCGGACUGGUGAGGAAUACAUCGGAAUCUACUUUUUCGUGGGGGAUAACGUAGGGAAACUUACGCUAAUACCGCAUACGACCUACGGGUGAAAGCCGGGGAUCUUCGGACCUUGCGCGAUUGAAUGAGCCGAUGUCGGAUUAGCUAGUUGGCGGGGUAAAGGCCCACCAAGGCGACGAUCCGUAGCUGGUCUGAGAGGAUGAUCAGCCACACUGGAACUGAGACACGGUCCAGACUCCUACGGGAGGCAGCAGUGGGGAAUAUUGGACAAUGGGCGCAAGCCUGAUCCAGCCAUACCGCGUGGGUGAAGAAGGCCUUCGGGUUGUAAAGCCCUUUUGUUGGGAAAGAAAAGCAGCAGGUUAAUACCCCGCUGUUCUGACGGUACCCAAAGAAUAAGCACCGGCUAACUUCGUG
rnacentral:rRNA from 1 species